AGACUUCACGUAGCUUGCGUCGCUGCUCCUGUCUCCGUGUAACUCACAAUAAAGAGAUUUUGGCAUCAACCGUGAGCUUAGGGGUAGAAGGGUAUAUGUUAGGAGGUGGGAGCAGAAUCAAUUCUUCAAAUCUUAAUGAUGGUGAAGAAGAGUGCUCACCAGAUUCCCUUCUGGUCUGGAAAAAGAAAUCCCUUCUUUUGUGGAUGUCAUCUCUACCAUCUCUCGGUGAAAAAUAUUUCAAGAGAAUCCUAAGAUGGAGAGAGCAUUGGAAGUCAUCCGGCCCAAUUCCCUUGUGCAAUUCAAAGCUUCUUUGUAAGAAAAAUGCCCCCAGAAGUUUGUUUGCAUCAUGAAGAUCAGAUUUUGAGGAUCCAGUCUGGCUCUUCCCUGUACAAAACAUUCCUCACAAACAGAAUAUGGACAAUUGUUAAAUGUCAAAGGUAAAGUUAUUGUGGGAACUCCUUCAAAAAGUUCAAGUGAGAGCCCAUUCUAUGAAUGACCAUUUACAUCUAAUUUUUUUCUGUGCUAUGUUACUUAUUCUGAAGUGGUUGAUCCAAUUCCUAAAAGGGAAUAUUUCAUUACCUUUUAUUUCCUAUAGCAUCCAUUCUGACCCCUUUUCGGUUUAAUUAUUCCCUGAUUCCAGUCUUCAUUCACUCAUUUAUUUGAGGAAUAUUUAUUGACCAACAACUAUGCCAGGUCCCAUUCUAUGUGUAGGGACUAUAAAGUUGAACAAGACAGAGGAGGUACUGGCCUCAGAAUUUACAUUCUAGUAGAUGAGAAAGUAAAAAUAAACACAUGAAAACAUGAAUGAACCGGAUAUUGUAGACUGUGAUAGGUGUAGUUUGGGUAAAGCACAGAGUGCAGUAGUAAAGAUAAACUGCACUCAGAGUGGGGCUAUUUUAGAUGGAAUGGAGAUCUCUGAGGAAAUGAAAUUUGAGCUGAGACCUAAAAGGUCACCCAAGGACUCAUGGGAAAACUCAGUUGUUUCUAUCAAAAUUUAGCUUCAUGAACUCCAGGCCCUUGCAAAUGAUGGUUACCAGGUGAGAAAUGUCUCACUGGCAACAGAGGUUGGCAGACCCAGCUCCAGUUCCAUCCCAGCCAACAUACCAAUGUCAUUAAAAUAAGGCCAUUCAUCAAGGUGGAGACUAUUACUAGAAACAAGCAUUCUAAAGUGCCAUUUGAGUGCCAGGCUCUCAACACUGGGCGUAGCACUGCUCCAUGAGGCUUUUGAGAGCAUAUACUGAGGCAUGACCAAAAAAAUUAAGUCCCAUGUAAGUGAUGCAACUGCUCCCCAAUUACUGUGGAAGUAUCUGCAGACUAACUAUUGUGCGUGUGUGUUUGUUUGCUUUAAUGAAUAAAUUCAGUCAACCAACCAUCUAGCUAUUGACUAAAUCCAUUCUUUUUCUUCCAAAAUGUCUAUUGGCUGAAGUUUACUGGUUUUUAUUUCUAUUCGCAUACGUAAUUUUCUAAACCCCAUUCUUAUGGAACCUUCUCUAAGUUCCUCUCUAUGGCCCUGUCCAUGUUCAUACGGAUACACAUAAAGACACAAAUACACCAAACUAAGUUUAGAGCAGUCUGGUGCCUGCCUAAGACUUCAGCCUCAUCUCCUGCUUCUACCCUCUUUAGUUUAGGAAAAACAGGUAACGUUGCUGAGUGCCAAGUAUUGUGUUAGUAGCUUUGCAUGCAUUUUUUCAUUUUAUCUUCACAAGUUUCUUCUAUCACCAUGAUCUGUAUGUUUGACCAUGGUGUUUCCUCCACCUGAAAUUCCCUUGGUGCUCUGCCUGGGGAACUGUUACUCAUUCUUCAAAUCUCAACGGAAUGAUCUCCUCCUCUGGAAAGCUCUCCCUACUUCCCUAGGAAGAAGUAAUCCCUUCCUCAGUUCUGCUUUGAUUAUAACUUUAUAAGCACCUAUCACUCUGCAUGGUAUUAGUUCACUGUCAUGUCCAUUUCCUCUAUUGGGAUGUAAAUUGCUUAUGGGUAAUAAUUAGGCUUUGAAUCAUUUUAUGAUCUGGCCUAAGACAGUGCUUGGCACAUACUAUAGGCUCAUCAGAUGAUGGCUGAGUAGAAUUAAAUUGAAUCAAGUUGAAGUUAUACUUUGAUGUUUAUCAAUUAACAUGUGUAGUGUGUUAAAUGGUGGUCACUGAAAACAUACGUCUGCACCCUAAUUCCUGGAACCUGUGAAUAUAACCUUACAUGUUAAGAAGAAAUAUGACCUUAAAUGGAUAUGGAGACAAGGAGCUUAUCCUGGAUUGUCUGAGAGGGCCCUAGAUGCAAUCGCAUGUAUUCUGAUAAGUGGAGAGAAACAGAAGAGGAGGAUGCAAUGUGACCAUGUAGGCAGAAGUUUGAAUGGUGCAGCCACAAGCCAAGGAGCCCCUGGGGCCAUCAGAAGCUGGAAGAAGCAAGGAAUGGAUUCCUUCCUAGUGUUUGGAAGGAGUGUGCACUUGCCAACACCUUGGUUUGAGACUUCUGGCCUCUGGAACUGUGACAGAAUAAAUAUCUGUUGUUUUGAGCCACCCAAUUGUUGCUAAUUUGUUAAAGCAACCUUAGAAAAUUAAUAUAGCAUCCACAAUAAAAUUUCUCAAAAUAUAUGUUCCUGUGAAAUGGAAGAGUUCUAGGGAUCUAGUAGCAUAUACGGAACCCAGAUAAGUUAUACAAGUUUUUCCCUGAAAGUCUUUUCAGAUUCUUUAGCGGGCUAAGGUGCAUUGUGAAUCCCAAAAACUUUAGCGUUUUUCAGCAUCUAUUAUCACAUAAUCCUUUCCCCACCCAUGGAAUUAUAUACUAAACUGUUUUUGUAGAUGUUGAUGUUCUGUAGAACAGAGUUUUGGGGUCUGUAUGACUUAAGAUCCUUCUACAAUGGAACACAGUGAGGAGGGUAUUCAGAGGAGUCAUAGAGGGCAUUGAUCUUGCAAUAUAUACUCAGGAAAUUACCAUGGGCAGAAUAAAAUGCUUUUGAAAAU
rnacentral:lncRNA from 1 species